rnacentral:misc_RNA from 1 species
AAGCAUUCCAUCAUUCCCAAAACGACCUGAAAUCAUAUCCAAGUUUUUUCCCUUUCAAAAAUUUUAUUAAAACAUUAACUAUUAAUCGAUAGGAUACUCAAAUUAGAACCAUGUUGUCAAAGUAGUCAAGACUAGCUAAAGGUUUCUUUUUCAGGUCAUUAAAUUUCGAUUAAAACUCGAACUCAAUAUAUUAUCAUUAGAGACAACUCUAGUACCAAUGAGUUAAAGCUUAUUGAUAACUAAGGGUAUAUUUUUUAAUCAAGCAUAAUUCAAACUUUGUUGUUCCACCUUAGGAAUGAAACUUUUAAUCAGCUUCAUCAGAGUUGGCAUCAAAGAUAGAAAUACAGAAUUCCAGGUGGGUGUGAAUUCACUACGUUCUCCUUCUGCAGCCUCAAUCAGUUUCAUCAGAGUCGUCGUCAAAAAUAUACAAGUAUGGGACUAUUGGUGUGUGUUCACUAUGUUCUACAUCUGCAGCCUCACCAGUCAAUCUAGGAGUGUUCCAACCCAACUACUGCAUGUAUACUUCAUCAUAGGCUUCAAUGUUGAAACCUGAAGCAAGAAACAAUUCCAACUCAUUCACGAAUCGUUCUGUUCUUGCUGCUAGAAAAGGCCUUGCUGCAUCAGAGACUAGAUUCUUGAACUCUCCUUGUUUUGUUUCAGGUGUUCUCAUUGGAUGAGAUUGAUCACCCCUGGCAAAAAGGAAAGCAAGCUUUUGAGAAAGAGAAAUGUAUAAUAAUAGAGAUAUGUAAAAUAAUUAGAGUAAUAAGCCAAACUUUCAUACUCAUCAAAAGAACUUAAAGAAUGAGGAAUCCAAUUGUUACAAUCUAGAGUUCAUUUUCAUCGUUAAGUUGCACAUGAAUAAACAAAAGGUGGGAUAAGUAAAGAAAAUACCUUCUCAAGAAUGAAUCAACCACACCAAGUAUAUGGUGUACAAUAAUUUCAACAUCCUCUUCCUGCAUGCAAGCAUGUCAGAAGAUGAAAGUUUGCCAAUGAUAGCCAACCAGAGCUAAAAGAUAGCUAUAGACAUUAAAUUAACAUCCCAAAUUAUCAACAAACAAAAAAGAAAAAGAAAAAGACCAAGCUAAAUAAAAUAAAAUUAAAUUAAGCUCGUAUUUUCUUUCAGCCUUUUGUUAUCGUCUUCUUUACCUCUCUCUCCCUUUCGGGUGCUAAGAGAAAGAUAUUAAGGUGGCGGUGCUCAGAGAUUUCACAUGUGGUUGAAAGAAAGAAAGAAGAGAGAACACAGCAUGACAAGAAGAAGAAGAAGAAGGAGAAGCUAAAAUGAGGGUGGACAUACAAGGCAAGUUGAAGCUAGCUAUUGGCACAGUGAAAGAUCAUGCAGCUAUUGGCAAAGCCAUGAUCUACAAUCAUGAAGGCAAAUGCUUUUCCGAUAUAGAGAUCGCAGUUGUGCGUGCAACUGCUCAUGAUAAUGUCCCUAUUGACGAUAAACACAUGCAUCAAAUCCUUUUCUUGGUCUCAAAUGCUCCAGGAUCCGUCCCUUUUCUUGCUGAGAGGAUCUCUCGCCGUCUUUCCAAGACAAAAGAUCCUCUCGUAGCCCUUAAGUCUCUCUUGCUUAUUCAUCGAAUCCUCCGCGGAGGCAAUCGUUACUUUGAGCAACAACUUCGUUGCUCACAUAUUUCUGGUCAUCUUCAAAUCAGCACCUGCUGGUUCUUCAGAACGUCCAAUUUCUCUUCUGAUCCUUGUGUUUCUUUCCUUCAUAAGUAUGCUGCUUAUCUUGAAGAAAGAAUAGGUUGGGUCAUUAACCAGGCAGGAAAGCUUGAACCUGUUAAUGUUUUGUCUCAAGGGCUGCAAUUUAAGUCUUAUGAUGAGAAGUGGAUUGAUAUGAUAUUUCGUGAACUUCCAAAGUGUCAAGUCUUUAUAGAUAAGGUCUUGGAUUGUUCUCCAAUUCAUAUUCUACCUUCAGAUAAUCUUGCUCAGGCAGCCAUGAGUAACACCUUGAAAGAGAGCUUCCAAGUUUACAUGACAUAUUGUGAAGGAAUAGCAGCACUUGUUAAUAUGUUCUUUGAUUUCACUAUGCCUGCCAGAGCCUUGGCCUGCCAGAUACUCCAGAGAGCGUCUCAGCAAAGCCAAAAGCUUCAUAAUCUGUAUGAGAAUUGCAAAAGAAUUAUUGAUAAUAAGAACUUGGAGUACCCAAUAGUGCAAAUCAUCUCCAUGGAUCAUGUGAAGACAUUGGAGCAGUGUUCAAAGUAUCAUUCUCCUGUACUGGAAUGCCUUGCAAAUAAGCCAACCAAGUUGAAAGCAAAAGGAGAUCAAAAGGAUCAUGCAACUAAUAAUUUUAGCUUGUCUUCUGCUCUUUUCUCAUGUACCCUGGAGACCAAAAUAAGCAAGGUGUGGGUGGUGUUUGAAGAUGAAGAUCAUCAUGAAAAUUUCCCAUGUCAACAGGCCAAGUAGUAGAAGAAAGGAGAAAUUGCCAAUAAGCUUUCCUUUAUUUUAUUGUUUGGAAUUGGAGUUCUUGCUCAAAUGUAAUAUUGACGUGUUUGUCGAGUGAAAUGAAAAUUUUAUUGUCAAAAAAGAAAAUCGAAGAGCAAAUAGAUUACAAGAUUAUCAUUGUUCCUCUCCUCUUUUUCUCUACUCCUGUAGAUCUCUUCCUUGGCUACUAUUGA